rnacentral:rRNA from 1 species
UACGUAGGUGGCAAGCGUUAUCCGGAAUUAUUGGGCGUAAAGCGCACGUAGGCGGUUUUUUAAGUCUGAUGUGAAAUCCCACGGCUCAACUGUGGAGGGGCAUUGAAAACUGGGAAACUUGAGUGCAGAAGAGGAAAGUGGAAUUCCAUGUGUAGCGGUGAAAUGCGCAGAGAUAUGGAGGAAUACCGGUGGCGAAGGCGACUUUCUGG